rnacentral:lncRNA from 1 species
AGAAGCCAUGUCAUGAGUCAAGUUGUCGGAUCAAGAUCACAAUUAAGAACGACUCAUUUAAACUAUAAAACUUUGUCUUGUGCUUGAAUCUCGUUAUCCUCCAAUUGUGCGCUUGUACUUGAACUUCGUCAUAUAUAAAUUUGCGCAUCGUUUGUCAUUCAUCAAAACCUACACAUAUAAACACACGUUUAGUAUAAUGCCUUUAGAACGUGUUUCCAAC